AUUGAACGUUGGCGGCAGGCCUAACACAUGCAAGUCGAGCGGUAGCACAGAGAGCUUGCUCUCGGGUGACGAGCGGCGGACGGGUGAGUAAUGUCUGGGAAACUGCCUGAUGGAGGGGGAUAACUACUGGAAACGGUAGCUAAUACCGCAUAAUGUCGCAAGACCAAAGAGGGGGACCUUCGGGCCUCUUGCCACCAGAUGUGCCCAGAUGGGAUUAGCUAGUAGGUGGGGUAACGGCUCACCUAGGCGACGAUCCCUAGCUGGUCUGAGAGGAUGACCAGCCACACUGGAACUGAGACACGGUCCAGACUCCUACGGGAGGCAGCAGUGGGGAAUAUUGCACAAUGGGCGCAAGCCUGAUGCAGCCAUGCCGCGUGUAUGAAGAAGGCCUUCGGGUUGUAAAGUACUUUCAGCGGGGAGGAAGGUGUUGUGGUUAAUAACCGUGUUGAUUGACGUUACCCGCAGAAGAAGCACCGGCUAACUCCGUGCCAGCAGCCGCCGUAACAC
rnacentral:rRNA from 1 species